AACACUGUUAACCUGCGGUACCUGCGGAAGGAUCAUUACACAAAUGAAAAUAUGAAGGCCCUUCAAACCGGCUGGAUUAUUUUUCUUCACCCUUGUCUUUUGCGCACUUGUUGUUUCCUGGGCGGGUUCGCUCGCCACCAGGACCACACCAUAAACCUUUUUGUUAAUGCAAUCAGCGUCAGUAAAAAGUAAUAAUUAUUUUACAACUUUCAACAACGGAUCUCAGAUCGGAAGAGCACA
rnacentral:misc_RNA from 1 species